rnacentral:rRNA from 1 species
UCUCCCCGAAAGCUAUUUAGGUAGCGCCUCGUGAAUUCAUCUCCGGGGGUAGAGCACUGUUUCGGCAAGGGGGUCAUCCCGACUUACCAACCCGAUGCAAACUGCGAAUACCGGAGAAUGUUAUCACGGGAGACACACGGCGGGUGCUAACGUCCGUCGUGAAGAGGGAAACAACCCAGACCGCCAGCUAAGGUCCCAAAGUCAUGGUUAAGUGGGAAACGAUGUGGGAAGGCCCAGACAGCCAGGAUGUUGGCUUAGAAGCAGCCAUCAUUUAAAGAAAGCGUAAUAGCUCACUGGUCGAGUCGGCCUGCGCGGAAGAUGUAACGGGGCUAAACCAUGCAC